rnacentral:rRNA from 1 species
GGUCUUGCCUGCCMCUGAARUGAUUAAAUGGCCGCGGUAUACUGACCGUGCAAAGGUAGCAUAAUCAUUAGUUUUUUAAUUGAAAGCUUGUAUGAAGGGUUUGAUGAGAAAAUUUCUGUCUCUUAAUAAAUUUAUUAGAAUUUUAUUUUUAAGUCAAAAAGCUUAGAUUUUUGUUGAAGACGAGAAGACCCUAUAGAGUUUUAUACACAUAUUAUUUGUUAGGUUUAUGGAAUUUUUAUGUUUUACAGUUUUUGUGUGUGUUUUAUUGGGGUGAUUGGAAAAUUAAAUAAACUUUUCUUUUUUAUAAUAUUGAUUUGUAAAUAAAUGAUCCUAGGUUUUARAUUAUAAGAUUAAAUUACCUUAGGGAUAACAGCGUUAUUUUUUUAAGAGUUCUUAUCGAAAAAAAAGAUUGCGACCUCGAUGUUGGAUUAAAAUUUAUUGCUGGUGAAGAGGCUAGUAGAUUGGGUCUGUUCGACCUUUAAAAUUUUACAUGAUCUGAGUUUAAACCGGUGUGAGCCAGGUCGGUUUCUAUCUA